rnacentral:tRNA from 1 species
GGUUGGUGGCUCAGUGGUAGAGCACUUGCUUAGCAUGUGUGAGGCACUGGGUUCAAUUCUCAGAACCA